CUGUGUUUUCUUGUUCAGGCCGAGGGAUUAUGAUCAUUUGUGGUGACACGGACCGAUGAGGGUGGAAAACCCAUGGAAGCUAGGUCACUGAGGGGAGGAGGGAGGGAGAGACGGAGACCGAGCAGGAGCACAGACACUCAUGCACAAAGCCUCUAAAUAAGUCCGGGUUUAUACAAGUCGAGUAUAAUCUGAGCCCUAAUCUGACAUUUUUUACUUGCUGGGUAUCGCAGGUGAACUCUUCAGUUGAGGUUACUUUAUUUUGGCUUAACCUUCAGCUUUGGGAAAAUAUUUUGGGAAUGGUGAGGUGAGACAUGAUAGUGGAAUGUGUCUGUGUGUAUAUGUAGGUUCUGAUAACCUGGUACGCUAUGGCACUCUGGAGAGUCUCGUGAACGAUGUGGCUGAUGACACGUGGGACAACAGAGCCACGAAUAGAAUGAGCACCAUCCGAUUCCUCGAUGACGACGAUGAACAGGUGAGAGAAUUGUGAAAUGCUGGACUCUGUAUCACCUGAUUGAGCUUCCGUGUGUGUGUGCGCGUGUGUGUUAAACUGAAAUAACAACUCGGACUAUUAUUACUAUUACUAUUAUAUUACUACUGCUACCAUCUAAUUUAUAAGAUUGGUUUUGAUGCACGUGUUUACUGUAUCAUUAAUUAAAAUGCAAAUGUGCAAACGCUUAUGUCAGAGUGUCAGAAUCCCGAGUUUGAGUGAGGAAACUUUCACGCCUGUGGAUUUCGGACAUUACGCUGUAGGUUGCCGAGUCAGGAUUGUCAGAAUUUUUGGAAACCCGACUAAAUGAAUGAAGUGCAUUCAGUAAAUAGCAAAAUAACGAAGUAUAUAAACACAAAAUCCAAUGGCAAGAAAUUCCUGACAGUUCAUCUUUGUUAAUACAGGGAGUGACCCUGGUGGUAUGAACCACACUUGGGAACUAAUAAAAUUAGAAUAUAAAGCAUAAGGUAGCCUUUGAGUACGAUAGUUGUCACACGGGUCAUGUUUGCUGCGGUCCAAAUCCGAGUGCGAUUGUUCCCCCCGUUGGUCUGGUUUCAGACUCACUCGAACGCAGGUGCAACAGAUAUUAUGCGCAGCAGUGGACCUCUUCUGUGUCCCACAAAUUCCCCUGCCGCUCAUGGUACACGUGUUGUGGAGACUACGUCGUAAUGAUGCCGUCCUCAGCUAAAACGCACACGCAGGUUACUUUACUUCCUGAAUAAGUGCGGAACGGAGUACGAUUUGCGUUCAUAUUCACUGGAAUCGUGGCUCGGUUCCAAAACAACCGAACUAGGACCACCUCCUUCAGGUAGUCUCAGGUCCGGUACCGCGCUGUGCUUCCCGGUCCACGUGACAGCUUUCACAUUACACACAAACCACGCUCAGACUGAGCUGCCAGUGCGAAAGCCCUCUAAGAGUCUGAUUUUGGAUCCGUAAUUAAAGCUAUGCCCUUGCUUUAGGGGCUUACUUCGCCUUCAGUCACUGUCGUUGAUUAUUUAUCUGGAACAGCACACCUGUGGUGUUUUAUUCUGUACUUGGUGUGGUACACUGAGAGUUGGGAGUAAAGUCAUUCAAAUGGCCUUGUUCUGUAAACAUAGCCCUGUCCUGUUCUGUGAUGAAUGAAUCACUGUUGUAAGAAAAGAGUAGAGCAGAAACCUGUAUUGCUAUGUGACCGGGACCUGUGAGAAUUGUUUAAAUGGUUUUCUAAUAGUACAGUACAGAUUUAUACACUCAUUGGUAUAUCCCUGCUCAUUCAUGCAGUUAUCCAAUACAUGAAAUCAUGUAGAUAAAAUGUGGACGUCUUCUCAGGUUCGGCAUGUUUUUUUUUUUGUUUUUUUUCCAUUUUAUGGUAGCCUUCUUCUCGGCUCGACCCAGUCUAGCUAUCGAGCUCUCUUUUGAUCUCGCUCAUCAACAAGCCGUUUCCACUCUUAGUUCCGCCACUCGAUGGUUUUUUGCACCAUCUUGAAUAAACUCAGGAGGCUGUGAAAUUCCAAGCAGAUCAGUAGCUUCUGAAAUACGCAAAUACCCGUCUGGCACCAGCAACCAUGCCACCGAGUCACCGAGAGCACAUUUUCCCCCUAUUCAGAUGUUUGAUGUGAACAUUUCCUGAAGCCGUUGAUGUAUAUCUGCAUGAUUUUAUGCACUGUGCUGCUGCCACAUGAUUGUCUGAUUGGAUAAUUGCACAGCUGUGCAGCUGUACAGGUGUUUGUCUUAAAGUGGCCAGUGAGUGUAUGUAUAGUGAUACUAUAGGUUAUAAAUGCAGAAAAUGCACUAAGUUAGCCUUUCUGUUAUUAAAUACACGGACCUUUUGCCUACACUCAUCAUUUAGCUUUAUUAUUAUUAUUAUUAUUAUUAUUAUUAUUGUUAGCAGAAUGUAGUCCAGCUGUUGCCGUGCUAAUCACAUAGACCCUGUCAGAAUAAUAACUUGACAACUCGGUGACUCCACAAAAAAAAUUAAAGAUAACACAGUACAAAACAGACCAUAGACCAGCAAAUAUGUACGCUCAACUAUUGCCAGGAUUGAAUGAUUCAUCAAUAACCGAGUAACAGGACCAGCGUGGGAAAGAAGCCGUUUUAUAACGGUGAUGGAUCGAAUGUGAUGAAUAGCAAUAACUAGGUGUCUAUAACUAUAGCUCGUGUAUCUCUAUUGAUGGUCUUGUUUUCUUUAUUUCUUUUCCUCUGUCAUAGGGGACGCUGUUGCGACGGGCCACGCCGCACCCCGGAGAGCUGAGGAACAUGAAGAAGGUGGUGGAGAAUCUCCGCAACGGUCUGAACGCUGCCAAAGGCCUGGACUCCAACAAAAACGAGGUCAAUAACACUGUGGACCGAGUGACUACAUCUGUGUGACCGCUUUGUUUUCCUCCAAGAUGACCCAGUCCCCAUCGUGUCUUCCCACAAUGCACCUCAUCCAGCCUUCUCCCUGUGCUUUUUCUCCCUUGAAUGUGACUCUCCUUUCUCUGUGCUGGGUCUGUUCUGUUCUCUCCUUCAUCUCCUCAGAUCCUGAAUCAGGGAAAGACCACCAUGAUAGGUGCCUUCUUUUUUCUUUUUCUUGUUUAUCUUCAGAGCAAUAAUCCAUGGACUGCACAAUUUCUUUUUUCUUUUUAAAUUUUACAAUCCAGCCCUUUUUUUUUUUUUUUUUUUUUAAAGCUUUUUGAUUUUUUCCAAACACAUACCAAGUUAAAAUAAGUAGGUGCACUACAUUAAGUCUUAUAUUAAUGCUGACAGAAGCUCCAGUUAUAUAUUUACAUUCUAUUUUUCAUUUUUUGUUUUUUAAACACUGGGUGGAUGUUUCUUUUUUCUUUCUUUCUCAUGAACAUGAACUAUAGCGCGGGACUGGGGGCGGAGAAACCAGCGUGAACUAAACUAACGAACCUAAACAUGAAACAUGACAUGAACUAUGACUAUGAAUUGAACCAUGAAACUAUGAACUGUGACUUUGGUUCUCUAUCGUAAGGACACUGAACUAAUCUACUACAACUCAAUAUUCCGCGCUGUGUGCUGGGAGGCGCGCGGUAUAUAUACAAACAUAAUCAGCCUCGUAAUGGCUGAGGGCGAUUCAGACACACAUGAAACAACAACCAAUGACAGAACGGGGAGGAGACAUAACAGAAACAUAACAAAUGCACGUGUCGAAAUGUCACAAUUGUCAACAAGGGAAAAGCAGGUGCUCGCGCACCUGCUCGUGCACGCGCGCUCACAUGCUCCACAGCCGCGCUGCUUAAAGGGGAACUCAUGACAGAACUUGGUCGGCCGUGUCGGUAGACUCGGGCUUGAGCAGAACUUGGUCGGCCAUAUCAGUAGACUUGGGUGUGAGCAGAACUUGGUCGGCCAUAUCAGUAGACUCGAGCGUGAGCAGAACUUGGUCGGCCGUGUCAGUAGACUUGGGCUUGAGCAGGGCUUGGUUGUCCUGGUUAACAGACACUUGGGACAGUAACUGGGCUUUGCAGUGGAUCUGUGGAGCUGAGACCCACUCCUGAACCUCCGGCUGGGGCUCUGAUGCUGGGGCCUCCCUGUUGACCCGCUCGGCAGGUGAGCCCACCUCGUGUGUGUCAGGUUCGAGCUCUGAGGUCGCCAGGUUAACCUCAGGCUGGAGCUCCGGAGCUGAGACCUCCCCAUAGGUCUCGUGCUGGAGCUCUGAGGCCGCCAUGUGGACCUCUGGCUGGAGCUCGGCGGGUGAGACCUCCUCAUGGGUCUCAGGUUCGAGCUCUGAGGUCGCCAGGUUCACCUCCGGCUGGGGCUCGGGUGCUGAGACCUCCGACGGGAGCUCCGAGGUCACCCUGUUGACCCUGGGCUGGAUCUCUGCACGGGCUCUCCGGUGGAGUUUCUUAUGCUCCCGCCAGCUGCUCUUGAAGCAUUCAUGAGAGCAGUAGAAUGCUUCCUGGAGACACAGUUUUUUGCAGGUAGGGCAUUGUAGCUUGGUCUCCCUCCUGCAGCCCUCAGACAUGCAUGUCGGUGCCACCUCCACCACGUUGGCUGGAACCUGAAGCAGAUCGGUGGAGGCUGACCUGUCAAUCCUCUCAUAAUAGAGGUUAAAGGGCAGGUCAGGCUGGGGCUGUCCAUUGACUCUCCACCCCAGUAAAUCCAGACCAUGAAGCUGCCCUGGCUGCGUGAACUCCUCCAUAAAAAGUUCUGCAAAUUGAGUGACAUCCUGGAGGGCAGAGGACUCAGUGCUCACCAGCUGCUCCGCCCAGUCACGGGCCGGACCGCAAAACCUGGACACCAAGAACCCGAUCCACUGUCUCUUAGUAGGCUUGGGAUACGCCAGGCUGCAGAAAUAUUCCUGGCAGCUGAAGAGGAACUCCAGCGGGUAGCUGCUCAAUCCCGCUGUCUCUGGCGGCAGUUCAACGGCGUACCGUUGAGGGAACUGCACGGACAAGAAAUGUGAGCCUGUGCUGUCUCUGCCUUGCUGUGUGAGGUGGCAGAAUGUGGAGGAAGAGAGAUGGAGUUUGAUGUUGCACUUGGUCAAGAGGAGCUGACUGAAACAAGCCUACAGCUUACACACCUACUGCCAGCUGGGUAUAUACCGGUGCUGAUGGAGGACCGGCAGAGCGAGGCGGUGUACCUAGAGAUCAGUCCUCUUUUCCUCCAGGCCGAGAACAAACACAAACUCUUCCAGUUCUUCUCGCAGUUCCUCUAAGGCUGACGCAGGAGAAACACACGUCUACCCCGCUCUAGGUUUAGUUACAAAAUAUCUGUGUUUCUGGUAAUUCGCUUGGAGCAAGAUGUGUUCUUGAACGUGGACCUUUAAAAACUGCAUUUGGUUUCUCUCUUUCUUAUGAAUGUAGUUAGGAAAUGUUUGUUGUGGUUUUCAGUUUUGCACUGAAGCUAUGAGCCUAAUGUGCUGUAGCUAACAAGUAAAGCUUAUAUCUAGCGGUUUAGCAUCAUGAAACCUAAAGCAUUAUGCCUUUACUACUAGCAGCUAAAAAUUCUUUAUUUGUACAGAUAGAUUACUAAACCAGUGUGUGAUGAUUUAAGCGUUCAGUUUCCACACUGUUGACAGUUUAGAGCCUUGUAGCUCUAGUGCAAACUGAAGACUGAGCUCUGAGCUACAUGUUGUGUGUUAACUGUGUUAAUGUCAUUCGAUAUAAUGCUGAUGGUAGGCUUUGAGUGAGAAUAUUGGUAUGAGUUUGAGUUGAUCAGAGCUGUUAACCAAUAAGAGAGCAGGAUAUUGGUCAUUGUAUUCAGUUUAAUUAGUGAGUGUUUGACAAUGUUGGAUUGUUAGGAAGUUAACGAGUUCUUCUCUGGUUUCUGUUUGAUGAAAAUUGUUGCUUUAUAACGUUGCUUUGUUUGAUUUGGAGAGACGAAUACAGGUUUUGUUCUGCACCGUCACUCAAUCCGGAUCUUUCUUUUUCCACGUUCUCAUACAUGAUGCUGUUAACGAUGAGUGACGGAGCUCAUGAACCACUGACCCUCCAAUCAGCCCCUGAUUAUCCGCUGGUAAUGCCGUCAGCCCUCUCGGGACACCGUAGCAAUCCCAUAACCCCCCUCUUUCACCCCACACAAGUACAUAUAUAGACACACUCUUUCCACACGCAGCACGGCGAGAGAGAUGCUGACGGACAGGGCUGAUUACUAUAGUGCACCAGGUGCUGAGUAAGAUCUCAAGAGACACACACACACAGGUGAACUGCACAAGGACCUCCUGCACACUCGCGGAGAAGGCGAUCGAUAAUGUCGAGAGAGAUUCGCAGGUUGGACAACCCACUAAUACAGUAGUGUUUCUCCCGAAACAUAAUCAACAGAGCUCUAUCUCCUGGAAGAUCACAGCACCUGCACUCUGGACCAAUCACUUCUAGUGCACACAAAUCUGAUUAGGAUUUCAGAAACAUCUAGACAUUGAAGCAUUUCAACGGUGAAAGGGAUUUAUUUUAAUUUUUUCCAUCCCCGUAGCUCAGAUAAAAGUCAGCCAACCGUGCAGGAGUCACACCACUGUGUUUCGGAUGAACCCGAUCUCCUCGAUCUGACACUCCACGACGUGUCCUUUCUGUAUUCCUUCUGAAUUAUAAAGAAUCCCCCCACCCCCCCCCAUUUGCAGGUGCUGUGACUUCUACUUGUAGGGACCUGUUUAUUUUGGUUUUAGCCAAAUUACAAUAUUAAUUAAAAACAAACUACACAACAUAAGUAGCUGUCUGAUGGGUCAUGUUUUAGAAGCAGUACAAAGAACUAAUCAAAUUUAGCACUCAGGUGUAGUCAUGAGGUUUGUUUUGAUGGAACAUUUUAUUCAAAAGCUAAUUAAUUAGAAUUUUAUGCAAAACAUUCCUUUUUUUGUUGGCGGGGGGGGGGGGGGCGGUUGCGAGUUUAAAAGAAAUUAGCACUAAGGUGUGUUCAAUUGUUGGUUAUAAAAGAAACACUUCAGCGGGCAAGAUGCGUUUGAGAUCUAAACUUGGACCCAAAUUAAUUCGAAACAUAAGCACAUGAUUAUGAUUAACACAUCAGUGUAUACACCAACACACUGUAAACACUCCUGCAACGCUG